GACCCAGACAGCUUUCGAAAUAAUCAGCUGUCCCUCUAACGUUGUCGGGUGAUUUCGGGUCUAAAUGUCCACCAUACACAUCAGCUAUGGCAGGCAUCAUUCUGGCCAUCCUAGGGUCCUUGCAAUUAGUUAGUCUCGGCCAGCUCGCAGUAAUAGUACACCUCAGCCUCUUAUAGACGUGUGUCCCGCAACCGCAUCCACACACUGGCGAGCUGAUGCCCAAUGGGACGUGUGAAACCACUGUCCCAAAUCCACUUCGAUGGGACACUCUUGACUCUUGAGAGGUCCUCAAAUGUAACUCAUAAGAUAUACUGACAGUAAUGUAUAUCUAAAGAUUGCAGAAAUUAUUAAUAGUCUUCAUGAAAAUGGUCACCCAAAAAGAAAUGUUGGAUCGUACACCAAAAAGACAGUUUUGUGAGUCAUUUGUGCACUACCCUCAGCAGGACGUUACGAAUGCACCACUACGUAACAUGGAUCCAAGUCACAUCUGUUUUCAGAGAAUGGAGGACGUACAUUUUGUCGAAUCUUGACCAGGAACUCACAAGAAAUUCAGUCAGUCUUUUGUGGACGAUGUAUUGUUUUACGAAGCGUGACUAGAAAUAAGUUUGACAUCAAAUUUUUGCCAGGGAUCAUCUAAGCAGCUGUAGAAGUGGACCGACUUUCCUUUUGCGUCUUUACAAUUUUUAGCUCAAUGCGCGAUCUUUUUCCUCUAUUUGCCCUUGUGCUGGGUGGGACCGAGCAUUUAGACAGCUCUUAUACAGUUCGCCAGAUAUGACAGCUGUCACGUUUUGAUCAAGGUCGAUUUCAAACGUGUGUGUGUGCUCCUAUCAAGUUUUCGCUCUAUGGCUCUACGAUGUCGUAGCAGCAUAGGGCAUCCAGCCUCUCGGCCAGAGGUCGCGGGCUACGGUUUUUCCUACAAAACAGCCAACCGGGCAUAUACGGUCUAGCAGAUUACGGUAUGCGCCUACCUCGUCAUAGCAUCUCUGGAAGAAGGAACACUGCUCGUUUAACAACCAACAUCUUUAUAGGAAUAUAGGAAUAGGAAAUAGGAGAUCCUUAAGUAUCUUUUCCUUUCGGUUAGGCCUGUGAGUGACAUCUUCAAGACAGAGCUCUGUCUAACCUACUCGGAUGACUAAACAUGAGAUGCUGCGUAUAAACAAGCUCAAGGACAUUCGAGGACGUUUCCUUUACUACCUGGACUGUCCCGCAGUCAGUUGAACCUUAUAGAAAGGAUGCGCAACUGCGGUAAGCAACACGUCUGUAACCUCAUUACUGAUAUCACUAUUGCUGUCAUUUAGUAUUUUGUUGGAAUUUUCACUAUAGUUUAAAUCAUACAUGGCACGACAGUUACUUUCUGAGUGGGUAGGACUGAGACCAGCCAAAAAGGAUCGUGCACAGCAAUUUUUUUUAUGUUACAACUUGGUAACAUGUCAUGUUGCGACUGACUUUUGGUUUCAACAAUAUCAACGAUAAACCUUGCUUAAAACCUUUGCUUUAAAUAUGGCGUUAUUAGGAGAAUCCAGACGUUCGAUGAUCUGUAGUAUAUUCACAUUGUGACAGUGGUACGAAACCUUUGAAUGGAUGUUCCUGAUCCUUUUGUGUACCGGGAUUCUCUUGUGGCCUUGUUGGCAUCACAAAUUAGAUGUGCAUAUAUUCUACGUAAUUUCUCGUACAACUUUGGAUUUCUGAUGGCAAAUGUAUGUGAACCCUAAUCAGAUCUGACAGUUAAACCUGCCAUAUUAUAUGGCUACGUGCAAAUUUUCUAUAGCUACCUAUGACUUGAGUUUCAGCCCUUAUAUAGAACAUUUUUUUGCGUAUUCCUAUAUUUAAAAUGCAAUGGCGCACCCUUUUCUAGACCUAAUGCAUCAUUUCUAUUAACUUUUGAAAGUCUGUCAAACCGAGCUUUCUCGAUUAUUAUUGAACUACAUACUUGAAUAUUAUUCUGUGAGGGCACCCAGAUGUAACACUGCAGCUUUACAAAUAUUGACCUGUUGCAGAAAAAGUCAUCACUGAAGACAAUGUGCCACUCUUCCACUUCGAGCUCUAGGAGCACGGAAAUGCCGGUUCAAAGCAGAAAUUAAUGUCAUCCACAGUUGGAUUGAUGAAUCUUCUUAACCCAGGCCGUGGCACAUAAUUACCUCAACCCAAGAUAUUGUGGGCGAAAUCAAAGGACUUCACGAGGAUAUUUUUGUUAGAAGGCAUUCCAUUAAGCGUCUGGCUCCCAGCCCGAAACAAACCGUGUGUCUAUGACCGGGCAACGCGUCCCUAAAAUUAGCGGGUAACUGCGUUACCCACUAAGCUAUCAUGGACCUGCGAGAAGACAGCCGAGGCCAUUUACGGGUCUGGCAUGAUUUAAUGAGAGAAAAGUGGCCCUACAGCCACUUGCAAAAAGUAAACAAGGAUCAACAGAAAGAACCACUUUGCGGUUAAAAAAAUAAAAACUGAAGAAAACUAAUGCAUUUCAGCUAUUUUGGGGUCUCCUUAAGACUCAGAGUUAUCCUAUUUGUUAUUAGCAGACGUUUACAAAAAACUAUGAAUUUCUGAAGUGCCUGCUUCACUUUGAUGAAGAAUAAAUAUUUUUAAUUAAA